CCAUCGAUAGUGAUUAAAUCACUGACUCAUAAGUGGUUGUCUACCUCCAUAUUGAUGUAGGUUAGCCAAUGUGAGAGGGACAAGCUGGAAAUCCAAAUAUCCUGUCUCACAUUAAUCAAAGUUUCAUCCCCAAUCAGCUAUCUGACCUGGGUCACUACUGUUGGAGCCCGGAUAUAAAUUUUCUUCCAAAUGAAGGGGCAGUCACAAUCAAUCCAGAUUUGGGACCCCUAGCUCCAUUCGCGAUAUUGAGUCCUCAUCAUCCUACUCUAUAAGCAAUCAGACUGGAUGAGAAAUCUAGCUGCAUGUCU
rnacentral:lncRNA from 1 species